UACGGAAGGCAGCAGUGGGGAAUAUUGCACAAUGGGCGCAAGCCUGAUGCAGCCAUGCCGCGUGUAUGAAGAAGGCCUUCGGGUUGUAAAGUACUUUCAGCGGGGAGGAAGGCGAUGCGGUUAAUAACCGCGUCGAUUGACGUUACCCGCAGAAGAAGCACCGGCUAACUCCGUGCCAGCAGCCGCGGUAAUACGGAGGGUGCAAGCGUUAAUCGGAAUUACUGGGCGUAAAGCGCACGCAGGCGGUCUGUUAAGUCAGAUGUGAAAUCCCCGGGCUUAACCUGGGAACUGCAUUUGAACUGGCAGGCUUGAGUCUUGUAGAGGGGGUAGAAUUCCAGGUGUAGCGGUGAAAUGCGUAGAGAUCUGGAGGAAUCCGGUGGCGAAGGCGGCCCCUGGGACAAGACUGACGCUCAGGGUGCGAAAGCGUGGGGAGCAAACAGGAUUAGAUACC
rnacentral:rRNA from 1 species